UGUCAUUCUGCCCCUUAACAAGGCAGUUACACCACUGUUCCUAGGCCAUCAUUGAAAAUAAGAAUUUGUAAUUGUGCCUCACAGUAUAUGAUCACACAUUUUGGUACUUGUUUUUCUUACGUUAACAUGCACUAUUGUUUAUGUUCAAACAAAUAGAGAAAUGAGCUUGAGCAAAGAGCAGGAUGAGGCAGAGGUGAAAUUUGAGGAGGCACUUCGAGAACACUGCAUUACAAUUUCAACAUGAAAACAGCAUUACAAUUUCAACAUGUAGCUCGCUGAUCAGAAGGAGCGAGCUGCAAAGCGACAGUCACCUGCUCCUGCCACUGGCCUUGCCCCUGUCCAAUGGAUAGAGAGGGACAGCAAAGGAAACAUAAUUCACCAAAGACCCAGACAUAAAAAGCUGUAACGGUAGAUUUCCUCCUCGUCGUCGUCUGAAGAGGUGUAGCAAGGAUCGGGCCAAUACGCAGCACGGCGAAAGACGAUGAUGUCAUCCUUCAUCAAACAUGUCCAUACAAAGACCAACCAUCCAACCUUCAGGAUAGUCAGACAGGGCAUCUCCAGAAGAAGAUUGAGGGGCUUUACCUCAGUGUGAACCAGAGGAAACACUACCUCUACUGUUUGACAGACGGCAACAAGAGAAGGCAUCAGAUUCUGAGAAAAAUUGUUGAGGACAAGGCAGCCUUGACAGCUGCCAUUGUUCAACUUCCCACACAGUAGGCAGAGUUUAGGCUCCCCACAGUGGAUGAGCUGCUCAAUACUGACAACUUUUUGUGGCCAUGGGAGAGACCUAGCACCAGUAAGUAUAUGAUUACAGAAGGUACAGUAUCUAUUGUGACUGAAAUUUUACCUUCAGUGUAGGCUGCAAUCAUUGCUGUUGUUCUACUAUAUACCUCUGUGAGUUUACAUCUCACAGGCAACAGCCAUCUUGCCAUCAAAAAGGCAAUCUUCAACAGACUGAUGUUGGUGAACAGACUGCAGGAGGAAGAGAGGGUCCUGGUGCAGGAGAUGAAGAGGCACUGGGGAGCCUACAAAGUACAGGGGGAACUCUGGAGGCACUGUCCGUACAGUUGCAAGAUCAGAGCAAUGCAGUGGAGUUGUCAGAGGGAGGGAGGAAUGGCCUUCUCUUCCUCCUGAAGAGAAGAUUGAGUGAACUGACACAAGAACAAGACAACACCAGGAACAACUACCAAAAGCUGAUUCUGGGAGAAGGGGCUAUUUUAAUGACUCUGAUGCAAAUGAAAACUCAGAUGAAGAUAGAAGUCCUAUUACUGAGAGCUCAGAUGGCGACUGCUAUGCUUUCUGAAAUCAUACACCACCCCGGCCUCUUUCUCUCGGACUCUCUCUCUCCCGCAGGAGAGGGGGAAGGCUGCCACCACCUCCCUCAUGAGCAGCCAGGGUUCCGACAUUGACCCCUGACCCCUUAUCUUCUGAACGCAUCCAGGGAAAUGUAUUUUGCCUGAUGAUGGUCUAGUGGAGAUUUGUUGCCAUGUUUCCUCUCCUCACCUCCUCCCCUUCCGGUCCUAGACUAUGGCGACAUCAUCAGCAACUCAGAAUGUUGGUUGAGGAUCUCUUUACUGAGGAAUGUGGUUGUUCUUCAUGAUUAAAAAUAUCUAUAUAUUUUCUAUGCUACUGGGAUUGUGAUUUUUUUGUGUAAUUUUGAGUUGCAAAAGAGUCCUAGGUCUCAAUGGGUCUGCUAAAAUAAAUAAAGUAAAGG